UCCGGCUUAUCACCGGCGGUUUCUUUAGAGUGCCCAACUAAAUGAUGGCAACUAAUGACAAGGGUUGCGCUCGUUGCGGGACUUAACCCAACAUCUCACGACACGAGCUGACGACAGCCAUGCAGCACCUGUGUUACGGCUCCCUUUCGGGCACUCCCGCAUUUCUGCGGGAUUCCGUACAAGUCAAGGGUAGGUAAGGUUUUUCGCGUUGCAUCGAAUUAAUCCACAUAAUCCACCGCUUGUGCGGGUCCCCGUCAAUUCCUUUGAGUUUUAACCUUGCGGCCGUACUCCCCAGGCGGUCAACUUCACGCGUUAGCUGCGCCACCGAAACUCCAAGAGCCCCGACAGCUAGUCAUCAUCGUUUACGGCGUGGACUAC
rnacentral:misc_RNA from 1 species